GCUUAUAUGAAUCCCAUAGCUAUGGCCAGAGCACGAGGUCCUGCCCAGAACUCGGGACCGACCAUACAAGACUACUUGAACAGGCCGAGGCCAACAUGGGAAGAAGUGAAAGAACAACUAGAAAAGAAAAAGAAAGGAUCCAGGGCUCUGGCUGAGUUUGAAGAAAAGAUGAAUGAGAAUUGGAGGAAAGAACUGGAAAAACACAGAGAGAAAUUACUGGGUGGAAGCGAGAGUUCCUCCAAAAAGAAGGAGGUGAGUUAUUUUCAAUUUGGUACAAUCUGUGUUAGGAACUAGAUUUAUUGUUGAUGCUGCCAAUACAGAUGUCAUAAAUGCAUUUUAAAAGCCAGUAUCUCAAAGGACAUGAAACUAAAUGCACAGCAAAAGAACAUGAUGCCAAGUAACAUUUGUUUUAUUCUGUUUUUAAGAAAAAGAAAAAGGAAAAGAAGAAAUCUAAUAGGGUGAGCAAAAUUUUUGGUUUUCUGAGUUUUUUGCUUUGAUGUUGUUCCUAUUUGUCAUUUAAGCUCUUGGAAAGAGAAAGUAUAGCCGUAAUUUUGAAUUUAGCUGUUAAAUUGAUUUUUAUUUGAGAGAGAUGGCUUACAUUCUAUACAAGGAGAAUUUUACUUCUGCUUAAGGGGAGGAAAAGAGCAUGAAAUACAUAUUAUUAAAUGAAAAAUGUUAGAAGUCACUUUUUACAGUUUUAUUUAAGAAAAUUUAUGUAAUACCAGCUUCUUGGAAGUAAAAUUUCAUUGAUAAUACUUUGCAAAUGAAGAAAUUUUAAAGGAAGUGUUUGGAUGGACUUUUGACUAUUUGCCAGACAAAAUGCUGCAUCUCACAAGCUUCACUUUUUGUUGUGUUUGGUCAAGUUGUCUUCAUCUUCCUCUUCUUCAUCAAGCUCUGAUUCUUCCAGCAGUUCAUCUGAUUCAGAAGAUGAGGAUAAAAAGCAAGGGAAGAAAAAAAGGAAAAAGAAAUAUCGCUCCUCACGGAAAUCUUCAACAAGCUCCACUUCUGAAUCGGAGUCAGACAGCAAGGACAGCACAAAAAAGAAAAGGUCAAAGGAAGAUCAUGAAAAAGAGAAGGAAGGCAAAAAUCACCACAGGAAGAGGAAGAAAGCCAGUCGUGGUGAUGGACCUUUAUCAUCAGAAUCCUUAUCGGAAUCAGAUCAUACAGAGGAGGUGCAAGCAAAAAAGAAGAGAAACAAUGAGGAAAAAGAGAAAACAGAUAAAGCAAAAAAGAGAAAGAAGCACAAGAAACACGGUAAAAAGAAGAAAAAGAAGAUUGCUGGUUCAAAUUCAGAUUUGGAAUAAUGUUUUUAAAAUACAAGACUAUCAACAGAAGUGCAAUGACUAA
rnacentral:lncRNA from 1 species